CCCAGACUCCUACGGGAGGCAGCAGUGGGGGAUAUUGCACAAUGGGGGGAACCCUGAUGCAGCGACGCCGCGUGGGUGAAGGAGCGUUUCGGCGCGUAAAGCCCUAUCGGCAGGGAAGAAGGAGGACGGUACCUGACUAAGAAGCCCCGGCUAACUACGUGCCAGCAGCCGCGGUAAUACGUAGGGGGCAAGCGUUAUCCGGAUUUACUGGGUGUAAAGGGGGCGCAGACGGCAGCGCAAGCCAGGAGUGAAAGCCCGGGGCCCAACCCCGGGACUGCUCUUGGAACUGCGCGGCUGGAGUGCAGGAGGGGCAGGCGGAAUUCCUGGUGUAGCGGUGAAAUGCGUAGAUAUCAGGAGGAACACCGGUGGCGAAGGCGACCUGCUGGACUGCGACUGACGUUGAGGCCCGAAAGCGUGGGGAGCAAACAGGAUUAGAUACCCGCGUA
rnacentral:rRNA from 1 species